rnacentral:rRNA from 1 species
GAUCCUGGCUCAGAAUGAACGCUGGCGGCGUGCAUAACACAUGCAAGUCGAACGGUAACAGGAGGAAGCUUGCUUUCUUGCUGACGAGUGGCGCACGGGUGAGUAAUGCAUAGGUAACGUGCCCCUUAGUCUGGGAUAGCCACUGGAAACGGUGAUUAAUACUAGAUACGCCUUCUCUCUUAAUGAGAGUCGGGAAAGUUUUUCGCUAAGGGAUCGGCCUAUGUUGUAUCAGGUAGUUGGUGAGGUAAUGGCUCACCAAGCCUAUGACACAUAGCGGGUCUGAGAGGAUGAUCCGCCACACUGGUACUGAGACACGGACCAGACUCCUACGGGAGGCAGCAGUGGGGAAUAUUGCACAAUGGACGAAAGUCUGAUGCAGCAACGCCGCGUGGAGGAUGACACAUUUCGGUGCGUAAACUCCUUUUAUAUGAGAAGAUAAUGACGGUAUCAUAUGAAUAAGCACCGGCUAACUCCGUGCCAGCAGCCGCGGUAAUACGGAGGGUGCAAGCGUUAUUCGGAAUCACUGGGCGUAAAGGGUGCGUAGGCGGUUUGGAAAGUCAGGUGUGAAAGCCAACAGCUUAACUGUUGAACUGCACUUGAAACUUCCAGACUAGAAUACUGAAGGGGCAGAUGGAAUUAGUGGUGUAGGGGUAAAAUCCGUAGAUAUCACUAGGAAUACCGAAAGCGAAAGCGAUCUGCUGGGAAGUUAUUGACGCUGAGGCACGAGAGCGUGGGGAGCAACGGGAUUAGAUACCCCGGUAGUCCACGCCCUAAACGAUGAAUGCUAGUCGUCGGAAAGCUCGUCUUUUCGGUGAUGCAGUUAACACAUUAAGCAUUCCGCCUGGGGAGUACGGUCGCAAGAUUAAAACUCAAGGGAAUAGACGGGGACCCGCACAAGUGGUGGAGCAUGUGGUUUAAUUCGAAUAUACGCGAAGAACCUUACCUAGCCUUGACAUUGAUAGAAUCUGGUAGAGAUACCGGAGUACCUGCUUGCAGGAACUUGAAAACAGGUGCUGCACGGCUGUCGUCAGCUCGUGUCGUGAGAUGUUGGGUUAAGUCCCGCAACGAGCGCAACCCUCGUCGUUAGUUGCUAACAGUUCGGCUGAGCACUCUAGCGAGACUGCCUUCGCAAGGAGGAGGAAGGUGAGGACGACGUCAAGUCAUCAUGGCCCUUAUGGCUAGGGCUACACACGUGCUACAAUGGGGCGUACAGAGAUUUGCGAUACCGCGAGGUGGAGCCAAUCUCACAAAGCGUCUCUCAGUUCGGAUUGUUCUCUGCAACUCGAGAACAUGAAGCUGGAAUCACUAGUAAUCGUAGAUCAGCAAUGCUACGGUGAAUACGUUCCCGGGUCUUGUACUCACCGCCCGUCACACCAUGGGAGUUGAUUUCACCCGAAAUCGGGAAGCGAACCUUCGGGACGCUACCGCUUACGGUGGAAUUAGCGACCGGGGUGAAGUCGGAACAAGGUA